AAAAUGUGACACUCGUUUUUGAAAAGAGAGUUUGAUCUCUAGGCACUGACUGGAAAAUAGCCUCGAAAAACAGGAUGUCUCUGUACUGCAAUCAACCACAACUUAAAAAAGUAAACGAGUUCAUACUCCAGACGGCAACAGGCAAUCAACGGGGAUGGACAUCUCUGGAUAAAUGCCCCAGCCUCCCUCUCAUCUAGGAGGAAGAUUCUAGUUGUAUAUGAUUUUUCAAAGAAUCCAAAAAAGACUGAAACUCAAUUAUUCUUAGCUGUAAUCCACUCAUGAACACACUCUUCGCUGACUUUUCUUUUUCCCUAUCUCACUUCUCCUACCUCAUCACGUAUAAUAUCUAGGAUAUCAUCUCCAUUAAAUUAUCUGUACACAGGUCUUUCCUUUUUGGAGAAAUACAAACCAAGAUGCAUAUUUUAGUCCAUGUAAAGUUCAUAAUCAUACUGUGGCACAGCAUUAUUAUUACUUGAAUCCCAUUUUAUUAAUAGGUACAGUUCCAUUCUUCCACACUGGCCACCUGUCUGCUCUGGGAAUACAGGCACAUCAAGUAAGCAGUGAGGAUUAUAUGCUAGAAUCUGUGUAGGAAGCUACAUUUU
rnacentral:lncRNA from 10 species